rnacentral:lncRNA from 1 species
CCUGUUGAGUUGUGUUACUUGACACAUUGGUGGGUCUCCAAGCAAUUCUCACUUGGCUGGAUUACAUCAGCUUGAUUACAGAGUCCUCAUGGUGACUUCAAAAUGGGGUUUCAGAGCCUCUCUGGCCAGGUAAUUACACUAAUAGGGCUGUCCAGCCCUCUCUGUCUCCUGAACCUCAGCCUCCGCCUUGCCCGGAGGACUCUAGAAAUAGGACCCAGGCCAUGUCUACAAGGGACCCUGAGAAAACAGAAGAGAGCGCGGGACUCCCUGCACCUCCUCGUCUUCUGGCGGGAUCCCACUCUAGACACAAGUGCUUCCAGCCCGAGAACAAGCUCCUUCACCCACCCAAGACAGGUGGAUCUGUCCAUUCUCAGAUCUUUCGCUCAGCUCAUUCACAGGUUCACGUUUUCUCCUGCUCAAAUCAUAGCACUUGGUGGCCACCCCUCUCUUUCCUUCAUUCUUCUUCCGUCUCCCUGA